GGACUCAACAAGCAGAAUACAAUAUACUAUAAAAAAUUGAAAUCCAAGAUGGCGGCCGCUACAAAAUGGCGGAUAACGUAGGUUUUAUCGAUCCCAUCAAUAUGGGUAUCAAAUGAAAGUGCUCAACCAGUAUAAUCAAUGUACUAUAUAAAAUUAAAAUCCAAGAUGGCGGCCUCUACAAAAUGGUGGAUAACUUAGGUUUUAUCAAUCCCAUCAACAUGGGUAUCAAAUGAAAGGUCUCAACAAGUAGAAUACAAUUUACUAUGCAAAAUUGAAAUCUAAGCUGGCCGCCGCUACCAAAUGUCUGAUAACAAUUUUUUAUCAAUCCCACCAAUAUGGGUAUCAAAUGAAAGGGCUUGACAAGAAGAAUACAGUGCACUAUACAACCUCAAUAUUUAAGAUGGGCCUUGCAAUAAUGAAGCACUAAAUGAAUUAAACAGAAUGCGAAAUAAAAACUAAAAACUAGAAAAUAAAAAUAGGUAAAAAAACUUUUUAAGUUAAACGGUUUUAUGUUAAACAUACAUUGCAAUGUUUUAAGAUAAAUGUACUAAAAACCAAAAAAUAAUAAAAUAGAUACAGUCGUGGGAAUUAUAAACAUAUGCAUAGACUAGACUAAAAUAAAAC
rnacentral:misc_RNA from 1 species